CCAUCCAGUGACAUCGACUAUAACCUUUAGCCUUCCAAGCUACUGAUG
rnacentral:tRNA from 1 species